UCCCUCCACGUGUGCUAUUGUGAGACUCCCAGGUGGUCACCAGCAAUCCCGGCUCUGUGAUUACGUCGAAGGAUUCUGUUACGUUAUCCUGAAGAUCACUGGAGCUUUCCAGCAGAUCAUUGAUUAUUUGGCGGCUUCUCGAGGAAGGAGGCGCCGCAUUUUCAAAAACGCCAGACAAUCACUAAUCAUUAUGAUUUAAAAUAACUUGUUUUUGCACAUUCUUGCACGGCAUUGUUUCUAGAUGUUGCGUAUAUGUUCUUUUUAGUGUUUUAAAAUGUGUUUACUGUCUGAAAUUGUCAUACAUGAACAUACAAAUCGACAAAAAAUAAAUAUCCCACUGUCAAAGGUU